CCUACGGGAGGCAGCAGUGGGGAAUAUUGGACAAUGGGCGAAAGCCUGAUCCAGCCAUGCCGCGUGUGUGAAGAAGGCCUUCGGGUUGUAAAGCACUUUCAGUGGGGAAGAAAGCCUUGGGGCUAAUACCCUCGAGGAAGGACAUCACCCACAGAAGAAGCACCGGCUAACUCCGUGCCAGCAGCCGCGGUAAUACGGAGGGUGCGAGCGUUAAUCGGAAUUACUGGGCGUAAAGCGCGCGUAGGCGGUCUGAUAAGCCGGUUGUGAAAGCCCCGGGCUCAACCUGGGAACGGCAUCCGGAACUGUCAGGCUAGAGUGCAGGAGAGGAAGGUAGAAUUCCCGGUGUAGCGGUGAAAUGCGUAGAGAUCGGGAGGAAUACCAGUGGCGAAGGCGGCCUUCUGGACUGACACUGACGCUGAGGUGCGAAAGCGUGUGUAGCAAACAGGAUUAGAUACCCGGGUAGUC
rnacentral:rRNA from 1 species